UUGGUGCCCGUAGCUAACGUGAUAAAUCGACCGCCUGGGGAGUACGGCCGCAAGGUUAAAACUCAAAUGAAUUGACGGGGGCCCGCACAAGCGGUGGAGCAUGUGGUUUAAUUCGAUGCAACGCGAAGAACCUUACCUACUCUUGACAUCCUAAGAAGCUUUCAGAGAUGAGAGUGUGCCUUUGGGAACUUAGAGACAGGUGCUGCAUGGCUGUCGUCAGCUCGUGUUGUGAAAUGUUGGGUUAAGUCCCGCAACGAGCGCAACCCUUAUCCUUUGUUGCCAGCGAUUCGGUCGGGAACUCAAAGGAGACUGCCAGUGAUAAACUGGAGGAAGGUGGGGAUGACGUCAAGUCAUCAUGGCCCUUACGAGUAGGGCUACACACGUGCUACAAUGGUGCAUACAGAGGGCGACGAAGCCGCGAGGU
rnacentral:rRNA from 1 species